GUAUGUUUCUGAAGUUAAUUUUGUACUAUGUCUCAGCAUCUCAAAACCUACAGUUGUUUUGGGACUUCCAUUUUAUGCAUUGACUUAUUUGUCAAUUUUGCCUAAAACUAUUAGUUAAUUUUGUUGUAUAUUUAAGUGUUGCAAUUAAGUAUUAAUAAAAAUAUUUAUUAAAAACAGUCUAAGAUUAAAUUAACUGUACAUUUAUUAUGGAUUUGAACCUAAUUUUCAUAAAGUGACCCUUGGUUCAGUCCAAAAAAAGCUUAUUGUUGUAUAGCCAGUACUUUUUAAACCCUUCUACUUGAUAGAAUUUUAUUAGUAUAAGUCAGUAUACUUAUACAAAGUAAUUAGUAUAGAGAUAUGAUUGUAUCAGUUUCGUUAUUUUUACACAAACUUCCCCUAGACUUUGUUGGACCUCUUGCUUUAAAAAAACUUGGAAAAAAAUGUUUUAUUAAAAUUACUGAUUGUUAAAGUAAAUAUACUGACUAACAAUUUAUGUAACUACUUUAUUUUAUAGAUUUUCGAUACUCUUCAAAAAAUUCUAAAAUUUUAGAUUAUUUGAUAUAGUCUGCUUAUUUUCAUCAACCCAAUCAAUGAGAAAAAAGUUUAGAGUUUAAACUGGUAAUGGUAUUAACACUUAACAAAUUGCUUUGAAAUUAACAAAGUGCUUUGAAAAAAGCUAUUUGUUAAUGAUAGUAUCAUUGAAAAAUGGACUGUCGAAGUUCAAAUUUUUUUCAAAGUUUUCUUUAAAGUUUUUCAAUACAGUCUAAAGACAAGGCCUUAGAGAUUUUAAGAGACUCAUCUGGCUGGCCAGAUGACACCUUGAUUGAUGUAGCACAAAGUUUGUUUUUAUAUCAGUUUUCUAAAAUAUUUAGAUUUCCAAGUUUAAAAUAUCUGAGUUUUUUUGCAUUUUUACUUGUUUUAAUUCAAGUGGUUUUUCAGAAAGUUAUAUUGGGGGUUUAUAAGUAAUGUCUCCUGAUGUUGUUUCACAUUGAAAGUGUGUUCAAUUUUAUGAUUCACUUAUUAAUAGUUCAAGUAAAGAUGAUGCGCCAUUGUUAGUGCAUAGAGUUGUACUUGAAAAUGAUUGUGAUCUUUUCUUAAAAGGAAAUGCAACGGUAUGAUAGUGCGACAGUAUAUUUGUGUAGCAGUAUCAACCUAAGUUUGAUUAUAUAAAAAGGUAAUGAAAUGAGCUAACAUUACCUGAAAUGUAUUGAGAAUGGAACAUUAGAGAUGUUACCUUUUGUUACUAUGUUAUACUUUCAUAAAAGGUGUGCCUUUAGUACUAUCAUUGUUGUGAAUGUAUCCUAUUAAUAUUGCUGUUUUUGUUUUUGUGACUUAUUUGAAUAUUUAAAUUCAAUUAUUAUAUGUAAAUACAUUUUUUUUAUUUUAUUGUUGGUUUUUUUAUGUUUGUUAUUGUUCAUGUUGUUUUUUUUAUUGUUGGUAUUUAUGUAUGUUUUAGUUAAUAUUUAAAAAGUUCAUUACUUAUUUUAUUUUUUUAAGUGUCUUAUAGAUGUGUAUGUUAUACAAUUGGCUAAUUUAGGUCAACUAGUACUUGUUCUUUGUUUUGUUACUGGCAUGAUUAUUUAUUUUGCUCACUUUGUAGUUUUUUUUUCUUACUGUCAUCAGUUAUUCAUUUUAUCAACAACGGUUAUUGAUAUAAGAUAUUGUUAAUAGGUACAGUUAUUAAAGACAGUUCUUUAUUUACAUACAUUUGUUGCAGUUGCAGUUAACUAUCGCUACUAUUACAACUACACCAAAAGUAGUAAUUAAAAAUAUGGCUAUGUAAUUUUUAAUUAUAAUGAGAUAUUUGAUCAAUUUUUUUAUAGAAUAUUAUAAAAAUUUAGACUAUUCUGGCAUGUUGAUACCGUGGCUGUUUUAACAUUUUUAAUAUUUAAAUGAUUUAUUAAUUCAAAUCCUUCUGGCACACAUUUAGAGUUCAUUUUAUAAAUCAAUUUAUUGACAUAUAUUGAUCAAUGCAUUUAUUAAGUACUCUUCUGGUGCAAACGCAGGCUUGUAAUUCCAUGUGGAAAAAUCAAAUUUCUCCCAAAAAUGCCCAAGUUUCAACCAAGUUGAUAUUUUUUAAAAGAACUUAAAAACCAUGUUAUUUUAUUUUGCUAUUUAUAUUGUGUAAGGAUAUUUUGACCUUAUUUUCAAAAUAAAGUUUUAGUGUAGCAUG